UACGGAGGGUGCGAGCGUUGUCCGGAAUCACUGGGCGUAAAGGGCGCGUAGGCGGCCUGAUAAGUAGGGGGUGAAAUCCUGCGGCUUAACCGCAGGGCUGCCUUCUAAACUGUCAGGCUUGGCACAGUAGAGGCAGGUGGAAUUCCCGGUGUAGCGGUGGAAUGCGUAGAGAUCGGGAAGAACAUCAGUGGCGAAGGCGGCCUGCUGGGCUGUUGCUGACGCUGAGGCGCGACAGCGUGGGGGAGCAAACAGGG
rnacentral:rRNA from 1 species